UGUCCGUUAGUUGCUGCUCCCAGUUCAGUAGGCCCUCUCCAUACCACAGCGCAGCGUCAGAGAUCCCACUACUUCUUGUUUCUAGUCUAGUAUAAAUAAAUGUGCAUCCAAGUCACUGAUCAGGAGCACCAAGCCAGCUAGCAACUCAAAGGAGGAAGACUAGAAGAUAUAUAGCCUUCUCCUUGUGUGACACUCAUAAAUAAACUGUUAGCAGCUUGCGAGCACUGCAAGAUCUUUCUGCUGGCAUCUGAAUAGUCAGCUGCUGGCAUCUAUCCGGGCACCUCUCGACCAGCCAGAGGCAGAUACCUGAUCCCAAACUAGCUGGCCAACAUGGCGAACGAUGACCCUGUGGACGACGAAAACCCCAGAUCCAACACCACUAAUAACAGCAUCAAUGACAAGUUGGCUGAAGUGUUCGACAUGGUCUCAGUCCACAAACAUCAGUAUAAAAUGCCGACGUUCGCCUUCCACACCAACAAGACGAUCACCGAAGCUUUACAUCGGCCUCUACUGCGAGCACAAGCUAGCAUGGUCACAACCUCCUAGCCUAUAUAUGAACUGGUGUUAUCCCGACUGAACUUUUCUUUUUGUUGACACCUUUCGUCAGGCCUCUCCACCAGAGGUUGACUCGUAUGUCUGUUUUCUGGUUUCUCAUACCAGAAUUAACGUUCUUGACCUUGUAAGGCCUCUUCUUGACCUUGUAAGGCUCUCACUCUGUGUCUGCAUCCUUCUCGCAUCCCUUGUUUCCUUCUUUCCCACUACAUGCAGGAUCAGUCCCGAUAUUGCCGUGUUUGCCAGCCUUCUGCAUCCACCUACUUUCUGUUCCCUUCUAUCCCUCCUGAGCUAAUUGUUGCUCCUAUGUAAUCCGUGUUUAUUAUUUCGGUACCAUGAUGAUGAAAUUAGUUUUAAUUUAUUGUAAGACUAGUUCAG